CUCCGGUUGAUCCCGCCGGACCCGACUGCUAUCAGAGUGGGACUAAGCCAUGCGAGUCAACAUAGCAAUAUGUGGCAUACGGCUCAGUAACACGUAGUCAACAUGCCCAGGGGACGUGGAUAACCUCGGGAAACUGAGGAUAAACCGCGAUAGGUCAUCACUUCUGGAAUGGGUAAUGACUUAAAUCUAUAUGGCCCCUGGAUUGGACUGCGGCCGAUCAGGCUGUUGGUGAGGUAAUGGCCCACCAAACCUGUAACCGGUACGGGCUCUGAGAGGAGGAGCCCGGAGAUGGGCACUGAGACAAGGGCCCAGGCCCUAUGGGGCGCAGCAGGCGCGAAACCUCUGCAAUAGGCGAAAGCUUGACAGGGUUACUCUGAGUGAUUUCCGUUAAGGAGAUCUUUUGGCACCUCUAAAAAUGGUGCAGAAUAAGGGGUGGGCAAGUCUGGUGUCAGCCGCCGCGGUAAUACCAGCACCCCGAGUGGUCGGGACGUUUAUUGGGCCUAAAGCAUCCGUAGCCGGUUCUGCAAGUCUUCCGUUAAAUCCACCUGCUUAACAGAUGGGCUGCGGAAGAUACUAUAGAGCUAGGAGGCGGGAGAGGCAAGCGGUACUCGAUGGGUAGGGGUAAAAUCCGUUGAUCCAUUGAAGACCACCAGUGGCGAAGGCGGCUUGCCAGAACGCGCUCGACGGUGAGGGAUGAAAGCUGGGGGAGCAAACCGGAUUAGAUACCCGGGUAGUCCCAGCUGUAAACGAUGCAGACUCGGUGAUGAGUUGGCUUAUUGCUAACUCAGUGCCGCAGGGAAGCCGUUAAGUUUGCCGCCUGGGGAGUACGGUCGCAAGACUGAAACUUAAAGGAAUUGGCGGGGGAGCA
rnacentral:rRNA from 1 species